AUACGUAGGUGGCAAGCGUUGUCCGGAAUUAUUGGGCGUAAAGCGCAUGUAGGCGGUAAUUUAAGUCUGUCGUGAAACUGCGGGGCUCAGCCCCGUAUGGCGAUGGAAACUGGGUUACUUGAGUGCAGGAGAGGAAAGGGGAACUCCCAGUGUAGCGGUGAAAUGCGUAGAUAUUGGGAAGGACACCGGUGGCGAAGGCGCCUUUCUGGACUGUGUCUGACGCUGAGAUGCGAAAGCCAGGGUAGCGAACGGGAUUAGAUACCCCGGUAGUCCUGGCCGUAAACGAUGGGUACUAGGUGUGGGAGGUAUCGACCCCUUCCGUGCCGGAGUUAACGCAAUAAGUACCCCGCCUGGGGAGUACGGCCGCAAGGCUUAAACUCAAAUGAAUUGACGGGG
rnacentral:rRNA from 1 species